UACGGAGGGUGCAAACGUUGCUCGGAAUCAUUGGGCGUAAAGCGCACGUAGGCGGACUGUUAAGUCGGAUGUGAAAUCCCUCAGCUUAACUGAGGAAGUGCACUCGAAACUGGCAGUCUUGAGUAUGGAAGAGGGUCGCGGAAUUCCCGGUGUAGAGGUGAAAUUCGUAGAUAUCGGGAGGAACACCAGUGGCGAAGGCGGCGACCUGGGCCAAUACUGACGCUGAGGAGCGAAAGCCAGGGGAGCAAACGGG
rnacentral:rRNA from 1 species